rnacentral:rRNA from 1 species
UACGGAGGGUGCAAGCGUUGUCCGGAAUCACUGGGCGUAAAGGGCGCGUAGGCGGCCUGGUAAGUAGGGGGUGAAAUCCUGCGGCUUAACCGCAGGGCUGCCUUCUAAACUGUCAGGCUUGAGCACGGUAGAGGCAGAUGGAAUUCCCGGUGUAGCGGUGGAAUGCGUAGAGAUCGGGAAGAACAUCAGUGGCGAAGGCGGUCUGCUGGGCCGUUGCUGACGCUGAGGAGCGAAAGCGUGGGGAGCAAACAGG